rnacentral:lncRNA from 1 species
CCUUACUCACCUGCUAAAGUGAUAUUUCUAUGCUUUCUUUCUGAAGCACAUUGUAUUGGAGUACGGUUUCCUUUUCUUUACCGCUCCGUUGAACAUAAGUGAGUAGAGUUGCUAGUUUGGUUUACAGCCAACACCUUCAAUCCAUAAAUAAGGGAAAACUGCCUUAACUACGAAACACUCAAUUAUCUAAGCUUUCGACC